rnacentral:rRNA from 1 species
AGUGAACGCUGGCGGUAGGCCUAACACAUGCAAGUCGAACGGCAGCACAGGAGAGCUUGCUCUCUGGGUGGCGAGUGGCGGACGGGUGAGGAAUACAUCGGAAUCUACUCUGUCGUGGGGGAUAACGUAGGGAAACUUACGCUAAUACCGCAUACGACCUACGGGUGAAAGCAGGGGACCUUCGGGCCUUGCGCGAUCGAAUGAGCCGAUGUCGGAUUAGCUAGUAGGCGGGGUAAAGGCCCACCAAGGCGACGAUCCGUAGCUGCUCAGAGAUGGUGAUCAACCAGACUGGAACUGAGGCACGAUACAGACUCCUGCGAGUGGCAGACGUCGUGCAUAGUGGAUAGUGUGUGCAAGCCUGUUCCAGCCAUACCGCGUGGGUGACGAAGGCGUUCGGGUUGUUAUGCCCUUUUGUUGGGUCAGAAAUCCAGCGGGCUAAUACCCGGUUGGGAUGGCGGUACCCAAAGAAUAAGCGCCGGCUAACUGCGUGCCAGCAGCCGCGGUAACAC